rnacentral:rRNA from 1 species
CCUUGAUCUUAGUUGCCAGCAUUCAGUUGGGCACUUUAAGGUGACUGCCGGUGACAAACCGGAGGAAGGUGGGGAUGACGUCAAAUCAUCAUGCCCCUUAUGACCUGGGCUACACACGUGCUACAAUGGACAGAACAAAGGGCAGCGAAACCGCGAGGUUAAGCCAAUCCCACAAAUCUGUUCUCAGUUCGGAUCGCAGUCUGCAACUCGACUGCGUGAAGCUGGAAUCGCUAGUAAUCGCGGAUCAGCAUGCCGCGGUGAAUACGUUCCCGGGCCUUGUACACACCGCCCGUCACACC